rnacentral:rRNA from 1 species
UACGUAGGGGGCUAGCGUUAUCCGGAUUCAUUGGGCGUAAAGCGCGCGUAGGCGGGCUGUUAAGUCAGAUGUGAAAACCGGGGGCUCAACCCGCGGCCUGCAUCUGAAACUGGCAGCCUCGAGUCUGGUAGAGGAAAGUGGAAUUCCCAGUGUAGCGGUGAAAUGCGCAGAUAUUGGGAGGAACACCAGUGGCGAAGGCGGCUUUCUGGGCCACGACUGACGCUGAGGCGCGAAAGCUAGGGGAG